rnacentral:tRNA from 1 species
GGGGAGGUCGCAUAGCGGUCGAUUGCGCCGCCUUGGAAAGGCGGUAGACGGUGCAAGCCGUCUCGAGGGUUCGAAUCCCUCCCUUCCCG